UUACUGCUAUCGAGGUUCGACUAAGCCAUGCGAGUCGAAUGUAGCAAUACAUGGCGAACUGCUCAGUAACACGUGGACAACCUACCCUCCGGUCUGGUAUAACCCCGGGAAACUGGGAAUAAUACCGGAUAUUGGGCGGAGGCUGGAAUGCACCGCCCAAGAAAGCUCCGGCGCCAGAGGAUGGGUCUGCGGCCUAUCAGGGUAGUAGUGGGUGUAACGUACCUACUAGCCUACGACGGGUACGGGUUGUGAGAGCAAAAGCCCGGAGAUGGAUUCUGAGACACGAAUCCAGGCCCUACGGGGUGCAGCAGGCGCGAAAACUUUACAAUGCCGGCAACGGCGAUAAGGGAACCCCGAGUGCCAGGAUACAAUCCUGGCUGUCGUAAUGCCUAAAAAGCAUUUCAUAGCAAGGGCCGGGCAAGACCGGUGCCAGCCGCCGCGGUAACACCGGCGGCUCGAGUGGUAACCGCUAUUAUUGGGUCUAAAGGGUCUGUAGCCGGCU
rnacentral:rRNA from 1 species